rnacentral:lncRNA from 1 species
AUGAGUUUUGAGGGUCGAUUUUGAGUUUGAUAUGUUGGUUGUUGCUGGAGGAGGUUGCUGAUGUCUAUUGCAACCGCACCUAAGAACUUUGGCCGCACAAGUGGAGUCGCUCCUGUGAUCAGGGUUGAACCUAUGAAGUGAGGCAAGGUAAGAAUUCUUCUCUCCUAUGGAGGUUCGUUUGUAUCAGCAGAGCCACAACUGCGACGCUUAGUUGUGCAUGCGCCUGCAAAUUUGCUCCUGCCGGACGUGGACAACUCCGAUGAAGGGUGGCAUGGCUGUUGACUUUUAUUGUUGCUUAAGAGUCACUGCAUGUGCAAUCAAAUCUUUGCAGGUGCGGA